CUCCAGAAGUGGUCAUUUGGGACAUUACCUGGUGCAAUGGAAACUCUAAAUUGCAGUCUGAACUGGGAAGAAUGGGAUGUGAAGCCUUGGUUUUUGGCAGGCUUUGUAAGCAUCAGACCACUUUGAAUUUCCUGAGAAAAUGUUCAGGAGAAUCAUCUUGGUUUUAUUCUGAAGUGUGAUUUUAUUUCUCUUUAUGUGAGCUUCUGCUUUGUUUCCAGAAGUGCUUUUAUAGAAUCUAUUAAGGAAAAAAUGUUAUGGGAAAGUUUUUGGUAAUUUUUUUAUUGACUUGUGUUUUUUUGCUGUAAUGCAGAUGCUCCUUUUUUAAACCUGACAAAGGCAUAGCUGUUUGGGGACAUGAUACUCUCUGCUCUGUACUGAGAGCAGCAACACACCUUGCAGAAUUGUUUUAAGGACCAGUCUGGAAUGUGCCAAUUUCUCUCUUUUCUGCUAUUUUGGUAGUGUUUUGUGGAGUGAAGCACAUGUAUAUAAGCUGCAAAUGUACAUUCCUGUAUAGAAUAAGCAGGCUGUCUGUGUGAAUCAGCUGUUAUGGGGGUGGCUGUGGGUAAGACAUAAACCAGGCAGUGGAAACUCCUUUGAUGGAGACUCAGUAGUCUUCAUGCUUUACACCUGUGGGGCCUGAUGCAAAUCCCGUGAGCCCUUCCAGAGAGGAAGACUCUCCUUGUCAGGUCAGAGCUUUGGAUUCACCUUCAGGCUCUGAUUUAACACAGCAGUUGGCUGGAUCCAUAUGGAGCUGAUGAACCUCUGAAUGAAUAGUGAAUGGAAAAACUGCUGGAAUCUGCCUUCAGCUUUGUUCCCAGGAUGACCAAUGUAAAAGGCCUAAGAGCAAUACUGCACAGAUGGUGUAAAGAGCUUUAUCUGAUACAAAUUUGGUACAGCCAACAGGAAAUAAAGGAGUGGGGUAAGAGGAGAUAACUUAUGUGAAAAAAACUGAGUGAAACAUCACCAAUUCCAUCACUGAGGAGCUGUUUCAGGAGUGGAAAAUACUGCAAUGGGCAAGCAGAGAAAUCAAGGCUGUAAGAGCAGCUUGGAUGUCACAAGUGCCUUUGGCAUUGUAAGAGAUCUAAACGAAAUGACCAGGGCUAUCUGGGUACUUCCUACAAAAGGAUUAGCUGUUCUCUAAGUUUUGAUGUAUAGAGUUUUUUCCCAGUCUCCAUUUUCCUUUCAACUUUACAGUUAAACUUCUGAUUUCAUGAAAGCUGCAUUUCAAAGGGGCCCCGAGUGCAGGGUGCAGCCCUGUGCCAAAGGCUCUCCACCACCUGUGCUGCAGUGAGCACAGGACUCUCUGCUCCUGUGGAUGUGCCAGAUUCAGUCAGAUCAGGCUGCACCGAAAAUCCCAGUUUUCAAAAAGGGGAGACUUUUCAUCCAAAAUAAAAAGCAACAACAACAACAACAACAAAUCCUGCUGAGCAUGCUUGGUGGGACCUGCUAAGGGUUUUGUCAGGGACUAAUGACUUUGAUCUCACUUUCCAAUCCCUCAGCAUAGAGCUAAGGAUGAAGACUUUUUUCCAAAAAAUGUUGAUUAGGAGGGCUGAGCUAUCUUGUGUCAAGAAAAUACUCUACAGCUUUCUUGUCUUGAGAGUACUGACAAAAUAAAGUCAUUUGAGCAGAAAAAUACU